GAACGCUGGCGGCAGGCCUAACACAUGCAAGUCGAACGGUAACAGGAAGCAGCUUGCUGCUUGCUGACGAGUGGCGGACGGGUGAGUAAUGUCUGGGAAACUGCCUGAUGGAGGGGGGUAACUACUGGAAACGGUAGCUAAUACCGCAUAACGUCGCAAGACCAAAGAGGGGGGACCUUCGGGCCUCUUGCCAUCAGAUGUGCCCAGAUGGGAUUAGCUUGUUGGUGGGGUAACGGCUCACCAAGGCGACGAUCCCUAGCUGGUCUGAGAGGAUGACCAGCCACACUGGAACUGAGACACGGUCCAGACUCCUACGGGAGGCAGCAGUGGGGAAUAUUGCACAAUGGGCGCAAGCCUGAUGCAGCCAUGCCGCGUGUAUGAAGAAGGCCUUCGGGUUGUAAAGUACUUUCAGCGGGGAGGAAGGUGUUGUGGUUAAUAACCACAGCAAUUGACGUUACCCGCAGAAGAAGCACCGGCUAACUCCGUGCCAGCAGCAGC
rnacentral:rRNA from 1 species